AGUGAAUAGAUACCCGGGUAGUCCCAGCUGUAAACGAUGCGCGUUAGGUGUAUCGGUGACCACGAGUCAUCGAGGUGCCGAAGAGAAAUCGUGAAACGUGCCGCCUGGGAAGUACGGUCGCAAGGCUGAAACUUAAAGGAAUUGGCGGGGAGCACCACAACAGGUGGAGCCUGCGGUUUAAUUCGGACUCAACGCCGGAAAUCUCACCGGAUAAGACAGCUGUAUGAUAGUCGGGCUGAAGACUCUACUUGACUAGCUGAGAGGAGGUGCAUGGCCGUCGUCAGUUCGUACUGUGAAGCAUCCUGUUAAGUCAGGCAACGAGCGAGACCCACGCCAACAGUUGCCAGCUCGUCCUCCGGGAUGGUGGGGACACUGUUGGGACCGCCUCUGCUAAAGAGGAGGAAGGAAUGGGCAACGGUAGGUUAGCAUGCCCCGAAUUAUCCGGGCUACACGCGGGCUACAAUGGGUUGGGACAAUGGGUAUCGACACCGAAACGGUGAAGGCAAUCUCCUAAACCCGAUCCUUAGUUCGGAUUGUGGG
rnacentral:rRNA from 1 species